rnacentral:rRNA from 1 species
UACGUAGGGUGCGAGCGUGUCCGGAAUUAUUGGGCGUAAAGAGCUUGUAGGCGGUUUGUCGCGUCUGCUGUGAAAAUCCGGGGCUCAACCCCGGACUUGCAGUGGGUACGGGGCAGACUAGAGUGUGGUAGGGGGAGACUGGAAUUCCUGGUGUAGCGGUGAAAUGCGCAGAUAUCAGGAGGAACACCGGUGGCGAAGGCGGGUCUCUGGGCCGUAACUGACGCUGAGGAGCGAAAGUGUGGGGAGCGAACAGG